rnacentral:rRNA from 1 species
GGGGAAUAUUGCGCAAUGGGGGAAACCCUGACGCAGCAACGCCGCGUGGGUGAUGAAGGUUUUCGGAUCGUAAAACCCUGUUUUCUGGGACGAUAAUGACGGUACCAGAUGAGGAAGCCACGGCUAACUACGUGCCAGCAGCCGCGGUAAUACGUAGGUGGCAAGCGUUGUCCGGAUUUACUGGGCGUAAAGGGUGCGUAGGCGGAUGCUUAAGUGAGAUGUGAAAUACCUAGGCUUAACUUAGGGGCUGCAUUUCAAACUGGGCAUCUAGAGUACAGGAGAGGGAAACGGAAUUCCUAGUGUAGCGGUGAAAUGCGUAGAGAUUAGGAAGAACACCAGUGGCGAAGGCGGUUUCCUGGACUGUAACUGACGCUGAGGCACGAAAGCGUGGGUAGCAAAC